UCCAACCUUGGUGAUUCUAUGAUUCUAUGAAUUCGAUUUUCUGAUAUAUUUUUAUUUUCUUGUCACUUGCCCACAUGCGUGAAUGUUCAUCUGAGGAAGUAUUUUAUGAAAUAGAUCAUUCCAAACACAACCAGGAAAAAAAAGCACGUUUGCCAUGCAAACUUAUUGAUAAUCGCCACUUAUCAAAUGUAGAAACAAGCAUUAUUUUGUAUGCAAUUUGGAAUGAUACAUUAAUUUAAAUUGCAUGUUACUUUAAAAUACUGUGCAGAUAGGAAAAGGAAGAAUUAGAGAAAUGCAUUGUUGCAAGUUGUACGUUUUGAACUGUGAAGCGAUUUAUGAAGGAAAGCAACAAAGUUGGGUGUCUGGCACCAGCAGAGGAGAUUGUGGCGUGAAAAAAAACAUGAAAUACAAAGACUGAAUAUUAUCACUACUAGCAAUACUCUUCUAAUAUACCAUAUAUACUUUGCACACAGGGUGGGAGCCUUUACUACUGCCACACUCUGGUCAGCAGGUGCUGGAGGCUGGCACUGACUUGCUCUGAGAAGGCUUCUGCCCAGCUUUCCAGGAAGGUUUGCUGUUUUACUGUAAGCAUGUGAAAGCUGCUGUUCACAACACAGAGAUCAUCUCACUUCUGUCUGAGAGGUUUUUACAGAGCUUUGUGCCUGAGCCAACCUUGGCUGGCUGAAGGCAGCAGGGCUGCACUAUUCCCCAAGAUGCCUUCCGAAAUAGCACACUUGCUUGAGUGCUACAAAACGCAUUUGGGAAUCCCUACUAUUUGUAAAGGCUUUUGAAAUACUUGAAGUAACUUGUAGAAGUUUGCAGAGCUGGUGGGGGUUUUUUUGUUUGUUUGUUUUGUUUUGUUUUGUUUUGUUUUGUUUUGUUUUUAUGGAAAGCAAGAAGAUAAAGAACCUCUCCUCCCCUAAAGUGAAUCAUCCUCCUCCACUUUUGAAAAAAAAUAAACCUGUAGAAUUUAAGAGUAAAACCCAUUAGGUUCCCCAAUCACGUACAGUGAUUUAUAGAAAAAAAAUAUAAAUAAGAGCUGCAGAUGAUUGGGUGCUAAUUUUCUGUCUAUCUUAGUUGGUAAUUGUGCCACUGAUCUAUACAGGGCUGGGAUUUCACCUUCUGAAUCGAAAGCGAAUACAGAAAAAUCACCUUCUGAAUUGAAGUUAUUUUAUAGGUGUGAUUGCAGCCACAACAUUCUUUAUUGAAUUCUGUAAGAUUUUUCCAUGAAGUCCUGGCCACUUUUUGACAUAAUAAAUGCCUUGUAAUUACUUUGCCUGAGCUAAGAAAUACGAGUUACGCUAAGGCCUGUGAAUGUUUACUGCCAAAGUUUGUUUUCUGGUAAAGCGUAAUACUUCAUUUAUGGAU
rnacentral:lncRNA from 1 species